GAUGAACGCUGGCGGCGUGCCUAAUACAUGCAAGUCGAGCGAACAGACGGGGACCUUUCUCCUCUGGCGUUAGCGGCGGACGGGUGAUUAACACGUGGAUGACCUACCUCUACGACUGGGAUAACUUCGGGAAACCGUAUCUAAUACCGGAUAAUAUAUUGAACCUCAUUGUUCAAUAGUGACAGACGGUUUUGCUGUCACUUAUAGAUUGAUCCGCGCCGCCUUAGCUAGUUGGUAAGGUAACGGCUUACCCAGGCGAGGAUUCGUAACCGACCUGAACGGGUGGACCGACACCCGGGCUGUGAGACACGGUACAGACACCUACGGGAGGAAGCAGCAGGGAAUCUUACGCAAUGGGGCAAAGCGGGACGUAGGACAGCCGGGUGAGGGCUGAAGGUCCUCGGCCCGGAAAGCUAUGUAAUCAGGAAAGAACAAAUGUGUAAGUACCCAUGAAGGUAUUGACGGUACCUAAAGAGAAAGCCACGGCUAACUACGUG
rnacentral:rRNA from 1 species